rnacentral:rRNA from 1 species
ACUGCUCAGUAACACGUAGACAAUCUAACCUUGGGAGGGGGACAACCUCGGGAAACUGAGGACAACCCCCCAUAGGCGGCAAGCACUGGAACGUCUGCCACCGAAACAAGAAGGCCUGUAUUCGGCUCAUUGCCCUAGGAUGAGUCUGCGGCGGAUUAGCCUGACGGUAGGGUAACGGCCUACCGUAGCUACGAUCCGUACCGGCAUUGGGAGAUGGAGCCGGGAGAUGGACACUGAGACAAGGGUCCAGGUUCUACGGAGCGCAGCAGUCGCGAAACCUUCGCAAUGCGCGCAAGCGUGACGAGGGAACCCCAAGUGCGCACGUACAACGUGCGCUUUUACGGAGUAUAGAUAGCUCCGGGAAUAAGGUCUGGGUAAGACUGGUGCCAGCCUCCGCGGUAACACCAGCAGAUCAAGUGGUGAUCACGUUUACUGGGUUUAAAGCGUGCGUAGUCGGUUCGGCAAGUUUUCUGUGAAAUCCUGCGGCUCAACCGCGGGGAUUGCAGAAAAAACUACCGUGCUAGAGGCCGGGGCAGGUGUGGGGUAUUCUAGGGGUAGCGGUGAAAUGCUAUAAUCCCUGGAGGACCACCAGUAGCGAAGGCGCCACACUGGAACGGGCCUGACGAUGAGGUACGAGAGCUAGGGGAGCAAACAGGAUUAGAUACCCUGGUAGUCCUAGCCGUAAACGAUGCGGGUUUAGUGUCCCUCGAACCUCGUGUUCGAGGGGUGCUGAAGGGAAACCGUUAAACCCGCCACCUGGGGAGUACGGUCGCAAGGCUGAAACUUAAAGGAAUUGGCGGGGGAGCAC